rnacentral:rRNA from 1 species
UACGAACCGUGCGAACGUUAUUCGGAUUCACUGGGCUUAAAGCGCGUGUAGGCGGGCCGGCACGUCGGAUGCUGAAAGCCCCCGGCUCAACCGGGGAACGGGCACCGAUACGACCGGCCUGGAGGGGGGUAGGGGGAGCCGGAACUUCCGGUGGAGCGGUGAAAUGCGUUGAGAUCGGAAGGAACGCCCGUGGCGAAAGCGGGCUCCUGGACCCCACCUGACGCUGAGACGCGAAAGCCAGGGGAGCAAACGGG